rnacentral:rRNA from 1 species
GACUGAGCGGCGGACGGGUGAGUAACGCGUGGGUAACCUGCCUCAUACAGGGGGAUAACAGUUGGAAACGGCUGCUAAUACCGCAUAAGCGCACAGUACCGCAUGGUACGGUGUGAAAAACUCCGGUGGUAUGAGAUGGACCCGCGCCUGAUUAGGUAGUUGGUGGGGUAACGGCCUACCAAGCCGACGAUCAGUAGCCGACCUGAGAGGGUGACCGGCCACAUUGGGACUGAGACACGGCCCAAACUCCUACGGGAGGCAGCAGUGGGGAAUAUUGCACAAUGGGGGAAACCCUGAUGCAGCGACGCCGCGUGAGCGAUGAAGUAUUUCGGUAUGUAAAGCUCUAUCAGCAGGGAAGAAAAUGACGGUACCUGACUAAGAAGCCCCGGCUAACUACGUGCCAGCAGCCGCGGUAAUACGUAGGGGGCAAGCGUUAUCCGGAUUUACUGGGUGUAAAGGGAGCGUAGACGGCAUGGCAAGCCAGAUGUGAAAGCCCGGGGCUCAACCCCGGGACUGCAUUUGGAACUGUCAGGCUAGAGUGUCGGAGAGGAAAGCGGAAUUCCUAGUGUAGCGGUGAAAUGCGUAGAUAUUAGGAG